AGCGGGAGAGCGGGCGGGCCUGAGGGAGCGAUAAAGCGGCCGCUAUUUGGUGGCGCGCCUCCCCUCGGAGCCCCCCCUUUCCCUUUCCCCUCCCCCUCCCCUCCCUUCCCCCUUCUCCCUUCUCCUCGCCUCCCCCCCUCCCCCCCCUCCUCCUCCCCGCCCCGCCGCGCGGCCCGAGUCCGCCAGCGCUCCCAGCCCGGCCUGCCGCCGUCACCGCCAUUGGAGGGGGAGCGCCGAGGGGGUGCGCCGAGCCCCUCCCCCGGCCCGGCGCCCGGCGGCCAUCGAGGAGGUGCCUCAACGCCACUCUGAAAUGUGUGCGGAGGAGACCAGUACAUGAAAUCAGGGCCAGAGGAGAGGAAGCGCCGUCGGCCCGAGGGAGCAGGUCCCCGCUGAUCCCCGACGAGGGUGCUGUACUCCAGGAUAAGCGACCUGUGCCAUUCCUCACAACAAAAUGA
rnacentral:lncRNA from 1 species